AGAGCCCACUACGAUGAAGGCAUAGAGAGCCACAUCGCUCCGAGCCGUGCGUGGGCAUCCCCGAGGAGGGCAGCGAAGCGUUGGCAGAGGAAUGUGCGGGCCAGCCAUGGAGCCCCGCAAGGGUAUAGAUACCGGGCGGUGAUGGAAAAGGCAAUUGCCCACCCCACCGAUUCGCGCCUGCUUAAACGUUGUCGGAAACAUUGAGUGAGGGCUGCGGCCCGGAACGGGCUGAAGUUGC
rfam:Burkholderia rhizoxinica HKI 454, complete genome